rnacentral:rRNA from 1 species
CAGUAGCCGCGGUAAUACGAAGGGGGCUAGCGUUGCUCGGAAUGACUGGGCGUAAAGGGCGCGUAGGCGGCGAUCAAAGUCAGGCGUGAAAUUCCUGGGCUCAACCUGGGGGCUGCGCUUGAUACUUGGUUGCUUGAGUGGGGAAGAGGGUCGUGGAAUUCCCAGUGUAGAGGUGAAAUUCGUAGAUAUAGGGAAGAACACCGGUGGCGAAGGCGGCGACCUGGUCCUUGACUGACGCUGAGGCGCGAAAGCGUGGGGAGCAAACAGGAUUAGAUACCCCCGUAGUCCCUGUCUCUUAUAC